UAUUAAGAUCCUGAAAGAAAGUUUCCUCCGAUCAGAGAUCAUCUAUGUACCAAGGACGCAAAAUACAAAGGCGGAUAAUCUAACAUGCAGUGUCUGGAAACAACCGUUUUUCAUCGUUCACAUAGAUCAAUAUCUACCGGUUUGGUUCAUAUAGUCAGUAUGAGUCUGUAUAAGCUGAUGGAAAAAAAAACUUCAGUUAGAGAGUACCAUAAGGCAUAAACUUCCUUAAUUUAUCUAUUUAUGCCAUUACUAUGGUUUAUUACUUAUUUAUACAACUCAUUCUUUUUAUUCAUUUCAUCAAUGAUAUCACCAAUAUACACACAAUUGCAUAUACUAUAGUGUGAACAAAACAAAAUCAUGAAAAUAUUAACAAAAAUGAAUAAUUCAAUAAAAUAAAACAAUACAAAAAAAACAUGCCACGUUCCCCGAUUUAAGUAUAUCCUCCUCUCCCCCUCCUUCCCUCAAUCUCUCUCUCUCACAUCCCUUUAUUGUUGGUUCGAUAAAAGUCUCGCAUACUCUUUAGAUUUUUCCUUACGAAAAUAUUUUCUCCAGAAAUGGCAGAGGCAAGUUUCUAUAUUGGAGUCGUAGGUAACACUCUUCUUCACUCGUGUGCUUACUGCUUAUACACGCGUGCCCAUAUAUUCGUCCUGGUAAAGACUCAAUAGACCUUACUUAGCAAUUAUUCUUUAACUACUUGUGUUGACGCAGGAAAUGUAAUCUCCGUACUCGUCUUCCUCUCACCAGUGGAGACAUUUUGGAAAAUAGUGAAGCGAAAAUCAACGGAGGAGUACAAAAGCUUGCCGUAUAUUUGCACGUUGUUAGGAUCGUCGCUAUGGACAUAUUACGGCAUCGUCACUCCCGGAGAAUAUCUUGUCUCCACCGUUAAUGGCUUUGGUGCUCUUGUUGAAAUCAUCUAUGUCUCCCUUUUUGUCUUAUACGCACCUCGACAUCUCAAGUUACACACAAUCGUGGUGGUAUCGAUGUUGAACGUCCUUUUCCCAAUCGCAGCGAUUGCGGCCACGAGAAGUGUUUUAAAGAUGAGAAAACGCGUUCUCAAUCGAUGGGUUUCAUAUGUGCUGGUCUCAACAUUAUAAUGUAUGGUUCUCCUCUUUCUGCUAUG